rnacentral:rRNA from 1 species
GUAAAUAAUAAAGGGCGUAUGGUGGAUGCCUAGGCUCUCAGAGGCGAUGAAGGACGUGAUAAGCUGCGAAAAGCUCCGUUUAGGUGCAAAUAACCUUUGAUGCGGAGAUCUCCGAAUGGGAUAACCCAAUAUGUUGAAGACAUAUUAUACCGUAAGGUAGGCAAACGCAGGGAACUGAAACAUCUAAGUACCUGCAGGAGAAGAAAACAAACGUGAUUCCCCCAGUAGCGGCGAGCGACCGGGGAAAAGCCCAAACCGUUAUUGUUUCGGCAUUAACGGGGUAGUAGGACUGCAAGCUUGAUGAAAUAAAUGAAAUGGAACACUUUGGAAAAUGUGAUCACAGAGGGUGAUAAUCCCGUACAUGCAAGUUUAUGAAUCAUAGCAGACUCCUGAGUAAGUCGGGACACGUGUAAUCCUGACCGAAUCCGCCGGGACCAUCCGGCAAGGCUAAAUACUCCUGAGAGACCGAUAGUGAACCAGUACCGUGAGGGAAAGGUGAAAAGCACUUCGAACAGAAGAGUGAAAUAGUCCCUGAACCCAUACGCCUACAAGCAGUCGGAGCCGCUUCGUGCGGUGACGGCGUGCCUUUUGCAUAAUGAGCCUACGAGUUACUCAUCACCAGCGAGGUUAAGUACUUCAGGUACGUAAGCCGAAGCGAAAGCGAGUCUGAAUAGGGCGUCAAGUUGGUGGUGGUAGACGCGAAACCUUAGUGAUCUACCCAUGGGCAGGGUGAAGGUUUGGUAACACAAACUGGAGGCCCGAACCGGUAAACGUUGAAAAGUUUUCGGAUGACCUGUGGGUAGGGGUGAAAGGCUAAUCAAGCUGGGAAAUAGCUCGUACUCUCCGAAAUGCAUUUAGGUGCAGCCUCUGUUGUUUUGUUCUAGAGGUAGAGCUACUGAUUGGAUGCGAGGGCUUCACCGCCUAUCAAAUCCGGCCAAACUCCGAAUGCUAGAACAUGAAGACAGGGAGUGAGCCAGCGGGUGCUAAGGUCCGUUGACGAAAGAGGGAGAACUCAGACCAGCAGCUAAGGUCCCCAAUUGUAUGCUAAGUUGGAAUAAAAACGGGGUGGGACUGCUUAGACAGCUAGGAUGUUGGCUUGGAAGCAGCCAUUCAUUUAAAGAGUGCGUAACAGCUCACUAGUCGAGCGGUCCUGCAUGGAUAAUACGCGGGCAUAAGCAUAUAACCGAAGCUAUGGGAUUGUAGAUGAUACAAUCGGUAGGAGAGCAUUCCAUUCAGCAUAGAAGCAGUACCGUGAGGUAUUGUGGAGCGGAUGGAAAAGCAAAUGUAGGCAUAAGUAACGAUAAUGCGGGUGAGAACCCCGCACGCCGAAAGAUCAAGGAUUCCCCGGCAAUGUCAAUCAUCCGGGGGUAAGUCGGAUCCUAAGGGUAAGCCGAGUGGCGAUCCCGAUGGCAAACAGGUUAAUAUUCCUGUACUGAUCAUAACUGCGAUGCAGCGACGCAGAGGUGACACUGCUGCGUACUGACGGAAUAGUACGUUGAAACCCGUAUUCUUUGAUACCGGUAGUGAAGCACGCCGGUAGAGAUGAAAGGUGAUAGUACCGCAAUGCUUCGGUUGCGCGGAUAACGCAGGUAAGCUGACUGCCAAGAAAACCUGCUAAGCUUCAGGUAAUGAUCAUCCGUACUGUAAACGGACACACGUGAUCAGGUAGAAAAUACUAAGGCGCUCGAGAGAUUCAUGGUUAAGGAACUAGGCAAAAUGGUCCUGUAACUUCGGGAUAAAGGACGCUCUUGUGAAAGAGCCGCAGAUAAUAGGCCCAGGCGACUGUUUACCAAAAACACAUGGCUAUGCUAAUUCGCAAGAAGAUGUAUAUGGCCUGACACCUGCCCGGUGCCGGAAGGUUAAGAGGAGAGCUCAGAUGUAAGUCGAAGGUUUGAAUUGAAGCCCCGGUAAACGGCGGCCGUAACUAUAACGGUCCUAAGGUAGCGAAAUUCCUUGUCGGGUAAGUUC